rnacentral:sRNA from 1 species
ACAAGUAAACUGAACAGCUGCCCAUGUGACCUGCUCCGGCUGGCCUUUCCCUCACUCACCUCUCCCCGCUGCAUCAGCCUCCAUAUUGCCUCUCUGCUUCAACACGCUAACCCCAGGGCCUUUGCACUCACUGCUCUCCGUACUUCGGCCCCCUUCUCCUGGCUUCUCGCAGCUGGCUCCGCCCCUCCUACUCGCCCACCGGCCAAUCCUUUGGAGCCUGCGCCAGUGUCCGAGAUGAUCCCAUGUGCUCCCUCUAAUGGGAUGUCGCGGGCCUUUCCACACAGGUUCCUUAUUUCCGUUCUUGGUAACCCCGACACCCAGCUCUCUCCUUUAUUAUGUUUGAUGCUAACUCUUAAGCGGCCUCAGCUCUAAGUAGGGAACCGGUACCAAGGAGGCAGAGUUUGCUGUAGUCGGGGAGAGGGAAGAAAUAACUCUGUGGCAGGCACUGCACAGGAUGCCUGCCUGAAGCCCUGGUCCCAGCACAGUAAUGUUAGUAUGGCCGCCCUCUAAACCGGAGCCCAGGGGUCAGGGAGUGGCUCAGUGCUUUCCCAGCAUGCACGAGGCGCUGGUUCCAUCCUCAGCACCAUAGCAACCAGGUGUAGGGUAGUGCGCUUCUACAAUCCCAUCACUCAUGGAGUAAAGAGUGGCUGUGGGUUCCUGAUGUGUGACUGUCCUCGAGGUGACACCAUGAGAUAUUCAGCGUUGUGCUGACAGCUGCAAGUCUGGCCUAUGUGUAAGAAAAUGCAGAGAGCCAACAGCAACUGCUUCUCAGAAAGAUGACAGAAUGUCUCCUGCAGCCUCCAGGGGAGAAGCAAUACUGUGAAGGAGACACAUGGAGUCUCACCUCCUUCUGUUACCAAACCCUUUAUAGACAGUGGGGAAGUCAACCUUCUGCUCUUGGCCUCAAUGUCCCUAACGCAAGAGAAGAAAAUAUAUCAGGGCCUUUCUGCAGCCCAGCAUCCCAUGCCGGCAGCAAGAGCCACUGAGGGGAGAGAGGCAGAGGAGGGAGACGGAAGAGAGACAGGCUGAUGGUGACGAGCCAGCAGAGGAAGGGGAGCAGUGUGGCCUGUGUCACAAGAGGUACUCGGGACUAGUACCUUCUCCAUCUGCCUGCUUCCCCACAUGACCCGAGGCCCCUCUGGCUGGGCUCCACCACCAGCAGAGCCUGCCUGAACUCAGAAGGAGGCCACAGGAGCCAGGAGGGAUCUCUCACAGAUCCCUCCAAGAUAAAUCGAUAUCUGCCCUUUCUAUUAAGGUCCCAAUCACAGAAUGAGACGCAAUCCCACCAAAUUUCACAAGAAGCAGGGGGAACCCAUCGGCUUGUUGGGCUUCCUCGUAGAGCACAGGUGAGGAGUUACUAACGGGAGUGUAGGUGACCUCCCACAUAGGACAGUCCUGAAAAGCAUUUACCCAACAGGGAUGAAGACGUCCCAGGAACAGCCCCCUUUGUUUCUCCCUCAUCUGACUCUAGUUCCCUCCCAAGGCAGAGUCACACACAACAGCCAUCAGGGAGAGGCUGGGCACUCGGGUAAGGGUCUUAUGACCUUCCUCACCCCUCCAUGACGAUGAAACCUGCCAACAAGACGGUCCCUUUGGCAAGGUGAUGCAGCUGAAAUUCCCAAGGUACUGGUUGCUUGGCUCAGAGGACGGUGACUCAGAACAGCAUCAGAGCCAGAGGACCUGUGUCCUCUGGAGUUGUAUCCCUAGCUCUGAAGGAAAACCAAUGGAAGGAGAAGGAAGGAGAGAGGGAGCAGAGGAAGAUGAGGAAGGAAACGGAGGUGUCCCCGGAGUCACAUGGGAUAGUACGGAUGGGUGGGAGAUGGGGCA